UACGUAGGGUGCGAGCGUUAAUCGGAAUUACUGGGCGUAAAGCGUGCGCAGGCGGCGCGUUGAGACAGGUGUGAAAGCCCCGAGCUUAACUUGGGAAUUGCGCUUGUGACUGGCGUGCUGGAGUGUGGCAGAGGGAGGUGGAAUUCCACGUGUAGCAGUGAAAUGCGUAGAGAUGUGGAGGAACACCGAUGGCGAAGGCAGCCUCCUGGGCCAGCACUGACGCUCAUGCACGAAAGCGUGGGGAGCAAACAGG
rnacentral:rRNA from 1 species